UUUGAUGUGACCCCUCUAAACUUUAGACCCCAGGAAACGAACGCACCCUAAGUUGCACUUUUCUAUUCUCAAACUCAUGAACCAAACAAUGAAUUAAGAUUUAAGAACUCCCGAGUGAACUCCUCAUCCUACUUCCCUGCACAUGUCAAACAAAAAAGGCAAAUUCUCUCAAUGCCACUGAAAUUUUAACCCAUCCCUUCAAUACCAUCCAAAUUAAACCCAUUCCUUCAAUGCUAUUGAAAUUUUAACAUCAUCCCUUCAAUACCAUUGCUGUGAAUGCGUUGUUAUAAAGCUGUUAAAUGAAGGUGAAAAGACAAUACCACCCCCGUAGGAAAGAGAUGAAACACAGUGUCAUCAGUUCUUGUCUCUUGCAUGCCACGCUUGCGUUACAGACCUGCAGAAACGUUGCCCAGAUGAAUCGUCUCCGGCACAUAGCUAGCAACAGCUGGUGCUAGAGCCUUUUAAUUCGUGCCGAUCGAGUGCUUGCGUGCAUUGAAACAGGCCGCGCGCGCCGACCAUGAUGCCGUCGCCGCCGCUCCCGCGGCCAGCCGCUGCUCCCUACGUCGAGCUCCGUUCCACGGCGCGCGUGGCGGCGGGCAUGGAAGAGCAGGUCGCGUGCCUGUUCGCUCUCCCGGUGCCGUAGAGUGGUCGAGGCUCUUUCCUGGAGUCCCUAUCUCUCGCGAACCGCUGCGUGCCGGCCAGAGCUCAGGGCUGCGGAAGCUGCUGCAUGCUCGCGCGCGAGCCGAGGAGCCCUGCUCGGCGCAGCGCAGACGGGCCGCGCGCCCCUCGCAGAACGGCCUGACGCGAGAGGCCCGCGCCCGCGCUCCGUUGGAGCAGCGCGCCCCCAACGCAGCGCGACGCUCCACACGCGCGCCCCCUGACGCGGCGCGCCGUCUGUGGGAGCGGGGUCGGCGCAGGGAGGUGCAGGUCGCCGUAGGAGCGGGGAGCGGGAUCGACGCUGGGAAGCAAGAGGAUAAGGUUGGAGAUGAGUUGCGCGUGGUGUUGAGGAUAAGGUUAGAGAGGGUAAAAACGGAAUAACAAUGUAUGACAGACCUGGUUUAAUGAUGUUUCAGUUUGUUUUCUUUUAACUAUAACGGUAAUGGUAUUGAUUGGAUGAAAAAUUAGAAAUGGUGGCAUUGAAGGAACGAACUAAAUUUCAAUGGUAUUCAAUGGAAGAGUUAAAUUUUCAAUAGCAUUGAGGGAAUUUUCUUAAUAAAAAGUUGUAUCCACCUCACGUGCCAAAUACAUCCUCGUUAUCUUCUCC
rnacentral:lncRNA from 1 species